ACUACUUUAAUGGAAAAAAGAAUCUUAUUAAUAAUAGAGUUCCUUCAUCCUUGAAUACAAUAUACAAUAUAUUCCAAAAGCAUCAUAUUCUCCUUCCCUAAACAUUAUUUGGGUUUAACAAAACAAAACCUUUUUCAUUUGUUAAAAUAUAAAUUAUAUCACUGUGCCUUACUUGGCAAGGUAGGUAUACUCUGUUCAUUCCUGAAGAAGUUAUCUGGAUCAACCGUGGUUUUGAUCUUCACUAAUCGAUCGAAGUUCUCUCCGAAAUACUUUCUUCCAUACACUUCUCCUUCCUUGUAACUAUUCGUACCGUGAUCGUUUACACCGAUAUCGACAUCUCUGUAAUUCAAGUAAGCACUCCUAGGGUUCUUGCUCACAAACCCUGUCAUGAAACUGUACAGAACCUUAGCCUGAUUCAAGAAACCCUUCUCUAUCGAGGCAGAGUUUUCUUUCCAGUUCACAGAGUACUGAAUCUUGAAAAGAUUGUUUCGAUGCGGAAACGGCGUCGCAUUAACCGCAACUUCCGCCAUUUUCCCACCAUACGGAUUGAAAACGAGCCCAAUUUUCCCCAACUCGAUCAUCUUCUUGAACAAAGACUCAAUCCCAUCUCUAGGAAUCUCACUCGCAACGUAAUCCGAUUUCCUCUUCCCGAAACUCGCGGUAUCAAGAUUCCGAUCAAGAAACACUUUAGGAUCAGUCUGAGUAGCGUUUUCAUCAUUAUCCCACCAUAGAGCCGAUUGAAUCCAAGUCAUUUCCUCACAAACCUCCUUCUUCAACCCCAAUUCAGGAAACUCCUUAGCAAGCAACGCAACAACUUCGUCUGCUCUGCCUAAGAACAGAGCAACCACAGUAGCUCUCACAGUCUUCACCUUCUUCCUCGUCACGGGUUGAAUCAACAUCCUCAUAAACAGAUUCGGAUCAGUCUUGGGACCAACGGAUUGCCAUUUGUAAACCAUAUCCACAGCUCCUGAAUCCAUAUACUGCUCCACUCUAAAUACCGUAACAGUCUCUGGUACAGGAACGAGCUUGACCUUGUAUCCCAACACAACGCCGAAGCUAGCUCCUCCUCCGCCGCAGAUCGCCCAGAAAAGAUCGUCACCCAUUGCUUUCCGAUCCAAUAUCUGACCUUUGACAUCUACGAUCUUCGCAUCUUCAACGUAAUCCACAGAUAAUCCAAAUUUUCUUACCAUGUUACCGUAACCAGCGCCGCUUAUAUGCCCACCGACACCAACCGUCGGACAAACUCCGGCGGGAAAGCCAUGGACUUUACUUUUCUCCCAAAUUCCGUAGUAAACCUCUCCGAGAGUGGCUCCGGCGGAGAUCCACGCCGAUUGGGCGGCGAUAUCGACGGAGACGUCGCGGAGAUUAGACAUGUCGAGGAUGAAAAAGGGUUUGUCAGAGAUGUAAGAGAGACCUUCGUAGUCAUGGCCGCCGCUUCUGAUCUUAAGGAGGAAAUUUAAGGAUUUUGAGCAAACGACGGCGGCGCUGACGUGGCUGUCGGAGAGAGGAGUGACGAUGAUUGUGGGUUUGGGAGUAGAGGAAGUGUUGAAUCUGGCAUUGCGGAUGUAAGCACGGAGGACGGAGGAGAAAGCAGGGUUCGUCUGAGAGAAGACAUUGUCAGUGAUUUGGGAUUGUGGGGAUUUCGUCUUGUCGGAGAAACAUUGAACGAAGGAUUCGUAGAUAGAAUCCGACGACGGAGGUGCAGCAAAUGUGGUUGAGAAAGGGAUAGAUACGAGGAAGAUGACAAACAAAAGGACAGAGACAAAGGUUUGUCCUUUAAUCAUCCUUCCUUCCUUCCUUGUAAUGUUUGUGUGAUUCGUUGUUUCUUCUUCUCUGUUCUGUACUUUAUUUAUAACCGCUAAUCAUAGGAGAUAAUGUUUUUUCUUUUUAUUAUUUAUUAAUCAUCUUAACUUCAGUAUAUAUAUUUAUUAAGCAUAGUGGCAUAAUAACAUAUGGAUUUUUAUUUCUGUUUUGCUUUGUUAAUUUAGAGUUAUUUUAAUUAAUGGUCAACAUUUUUUUGGUCAAAGGUCGUAGUGAUUAGCUAGGAACUGCAGAGGAAAAGUAUCAAAUUAGGCCUAAAUUAAAGCAAAUUAGAUUAUUUUUUCUCUGUCCUGAUUUGAUUUCAAAAAAUUUCAUGACUUUUUUUAGUGGACUUAAAUCAAAGUUAUUUAUACAUAUUUCCAUUUAAAUACAAAUUAACCUUAACUUAACUAUUAAGUGUAAAGUUUGUGUAACAUAUAUAGUAGUAAACUAGUAAUCAAAAUCUAUAAAACUUCAUUUGAUCCAUUCACAAACAUUUCCAUUUUUUAAUGAAAAUCUUGAAUCUUUUAAUUAUUCUUGCGACUUCAGAUAACUUUAUGUAGUUUCAAAAAAAUAAAAGAAAUAUUUUCAGAUAACUUCUAAAGAUCUGAAAACGAGUGAGGCUCUGUUCAUCUUAUGAAGAGAGAUCAUCAUCAGUCAUCACUCGACGAUUCAAAACACAACAAAAAGCAAAUCGCAAGAUUCUAGAAGACGUGUAAGACAACCGUGGCAGCUAUGGUGGCUUUGCCAGCUCGUGACCACCGUCUUGCCGUUCCCGACUCAGGCAACAACGUUCCCUUUGCAUCUGCGACCAAAUUGGGUCCAAAAAUGUCAACACUAUACACAAAAUUGCAGGUCACAAGAAUCAUCCAUCAACUACUCCAAACCAAACCAUCCACAAUUAUAGCCUUAAAUUUGAACAGCAGGUAGCUGUUUUCAACAAUCACUAGUUUGGAAUUCACCAGAACUUUUGACUUAUUACAUAGGCUUGUCGUUAAGUUCCAUGGACAAAGAAAAUAUACAAUCUACAAUAUCCAAAACAAUGUAUUCUAUAAUAUGCUUCACUACAACAUUACAUUAAAGCAAAAGCCAAUGUUUUAUAUCAAAUGACAAAUUGAUGUUUUAUGCCUUACUUGGCAAGGUAGGUAUACUCUGUUCAUUCCUGAAGAAAUUCCCCGGAUCAACCGCAGUUUUGAUCUUCACCAAUCGAUCGAAGUUCACUCCGAAAUACUUCCUUCC
rnacentral:lncRNA from 1 species